AUACGGAGGGUGCAAGCGUUAUCCGGAAUCAUUGGGUUUAAAGGGUCCGUAGGCGGACUAAUAAGUCAGGGGUGAAAUCCCACAGCUUAACUGUGGAACUGCCUUUGAUACUGUUAGUCUUGAGUUAUAUGGAAGUAGAUAGAAUGUGUAGUGUAGCGGUGAAAUGCUUAGAGAUUACACAGAAUACCGAUUGCGAAGGCAGUCUACUACAUAUAUACUGACGCUAAUGGACGAAAGCGUGGGGAGCGAACAGGAGUAGAUACCCUAGUAGUCC
rnacentral:rRNA from 1 species